CUUUGACUUUUGAAGUGGCUGGAAUUAGAAUGUCCUAAAUAAAAGCUGCAUCUCAGGGACAGAGUGGGACCCAUUUUCAGCUCGGGAGUUUAAUGCCCAAGACCAGCCCUUUUUUUUUUUCGUGGUGGAAGAACUUGGAUAAAUGAAGUGACAGUUCAGUUCUUUCUAUCCUGCUAUAUUUAUUACUAACAUGUUUCAACAAGUGUGUGUGUGUAUAUAUAUCAUAACAAAUAACAUACUGUGUAUUCUGUUCUGCUACAAAAAGUCCAACUUUAACAUUAUGAAAAAAAAUGUUGGUUCAAACAAAUAUGAAGUCACAUUUGUUUAUAUCUCCAUGGUAACAACCUGUGUGUUGUGUGUGUGUGUGUGUGCAUGAGAGAGAGAGAGAGAGCGAGCGCAGGUGGCGAUCUGAGCCAAGUGACAGAGAAGUGGUACAUCUGCCGUCCCAAUUUAUGAGUGGCCCACCGGGAAUUCUCCCGAUUAGCCUCUACGGCUGGUCCAUCUGAAAAAUGAUACACGCAUCGAUGUUUACGCAUGGCAUCAGUACAUCGGCUCAUUGGUUAUUUGAUCGAUAUAACAGUACAUGUCGAUGGAUCAUUACACCCCUAGUAAUUACAGAUGAACAGGGUUUCUCCCACAAAACUCUCCCAACGCCCUCUACAGUCCUCAGGGAGCUCUGAAAAUAUUCAACAAAGAAAAAGAGAGAGAGAGAGAGAGAGAGAGAGAAAAAGAGAGUUGUAGCCUAUCCAAAAACAUCAUUAAAACAAUGCCAUUCUUAUACACCCACAAAAAAAUUGUAGGCUUGGGGCAGAACUGCUGCAAAGUCUAAAAUGCGCACAAACAUUCCCUCAUUUAAACUGACUAAUAGAUGCAUUUGAAGUAAAUAUAUCAGGACAGUGAUAUUUUUCAAAAUGCAGCUUUUUUUUGGCUGAAAUACAAGCAAUUAAAGCUCUCCAUCACCUCAGAUACCUCGUUACUCUCCUUUUAACUGAGAAAAACUGAAAUGAGUUUCCGCUGUUAGAUGUUUUUAUUACAGUUACCACAUUAGCCUCAAAUGGGAAGGAAAAAAAGGAAGGAUAAGCACAAAACUCAGAGGAAAAAGAUGGCUAUGAUGCUGGAUCUCUCACUCACACUCACCUUUGAUGAGAUCACUAAUCUGAGACUGGACAUGUCCUUUCUCCAGGUUCUGUACCACAGUGUUGGCGAUUCUAGUCAGAUGACCCAUGUUACCUCUCCUGGUCCCACCCUCAGCUCUAGAGAUAUUAGAGGCCAUAAAACCAACAGCGUCCAGAAUCCUUUGCACCAGGCGACACUGUUGGAAGAGCUGCACAAUACACACAGACAGAACGACAGGCUGGACUAUUAGCACAAUGACACAUUUCAAUACAAUCAGCAGCGGCUCAUGACCAUAAAGUUUAGAGAAACCCUUUAAUAGCCAGUUGAAAGUCGACAACAAAGUUAUCCAGCGUACAGUCUAGCAGCUGAGCAGGAUGUUAUAACCCAUGUAGAUUUAACUCAGAUUAAGGAAGAGAAAACAAGUUAAAAUCAAACUACAUAGCAAUAAGAAAUUAUUACCAUGGCUAAAUAAACUAAAAUGAAUCCAAAACAUUAAAUUACUGUUUAAAACUGUUGGCUUCUUAAACUGACCAGAAAGAAAAGACUUCUGAAAAGAGUGAGAAACUUUGGCAGACAGGACACUAGCCUCCGACUGAAGACUUUUGUGGCUGAGACAAUUUCAGCCAGAGGCGUUAAUCAGGAUGUCUGCGUGAGGGUUUGAUUAAUUAAUUAGUAAUUUAAAAUUAAAAAUUAAUAUAUAUAUUUUUAUCUCCACCCAUAUCUGGGCAAGAACACCACCCAAAUGGGCUGCUUGCACUGAAGACUAUUAUACACUUCCGUUUUGAAAUUGUUCAGUUCUCAAGUUUCAACAUGAUGAAAAUGAGUGUUCAUAAGACAACAGCUUCCCAGCUCAGUGACCUGACAGGAGAUGACCGUUAACAAACCUACGUCAUGACCACUUCAUCGUUUCCACUCAUACAAAGGCAGAUACUUCAUACCAGAUCAGCUAGACGAACCCAAAACCACAGAGGGUCAGAGAAGACCGGCAAAAAGUACAGUGCCGUCGCUCUUUGAAAUGAAACGGCUACAGAAUUCGCUUAAUACGACCCAGUGUGUGGGAGAGAAAGGCACUGGAUAAGAAUAAACACCAAAUAUUGUACCUUAUUAUUAUUAUUAUUAUUAUUAUUAAAUUACUAAUACAUUUACAUGCUGAUAACAUGUCGAACAUGCAAUAGCGAUAUUUAAUUUUGGGUUAUCAUGAAAAACCCCCCCAAAAAAGACAGACUGACAUAAAUCGUCAAAGAAAUCCACAAUAAUAAUUUAAU